GACGUCGACGUCAUAAACACGAUUAACUUCGGUGUUUAUGACGUCGACAUUCGACGUCAUAAACACGAUCAACUUAUGUGUUUAUGACGUCGAUAUUUGACCUCAUUAACACGAUCAACUUUGGUGUUUAUGACGUCGAUAUUCGACUUCAUAAACACGAUCAACUUAGGCGUUUAUGACGUCGAUAUUCGACGUAAUAAACACGAUCAACUUUGGUGUUGAUGACGACGAUAUUCGACGUC
rnacentral:miRNA from 1 species